AACGAACGCUGGCGGCGUGCUUAACACAUGCAAGUCGAACGCGAAAGGGACUUCGGUCCUGAGUAAAGUGGCGCACGGGUGAGUAACGCGUAGAUAACCUGUCUUCAUGUCUGGAAUAAUACGCCGAAAGGGGUACUAAUACCGGAUAUUCUUGCUUUUCAUAAGUUAUGCAAGCAAAGGUGGCCUCUGCAUAUGCUACUGCAUGAGGAGGGGUCUGCGUACCAUUAGCUAGUAGGUGGGGUAAUGGCCUACCUAGGCGACGAUGGUUAGCGGGUCUGAGAGGAUGAUCCGCCACACUGGCACUGGAACACGGGCCAGACUCCUACGGGAGGCAGCAGUGAGGAAUAUUGCGCAAUGGGGGAAACCCUGACGCAGCGACGCCGCGUGAGUGAGGAAAGGCCUUCGGGUCGUAAAGCUCUGUCAAGAGGAAAGAAGUGUACAAUGGCUAAUACCUGUUGUAUUUGACGGUACCUCUAAAGGAAGCACCGGCUAACUCCGUGCCAGCAGCAGC
rnacentral:rRNA from 1 species